rnacentral:rRNA from 1 species
CGAUAGUGAAACAGUACCGUGAGGGAAAGGUGAAAAGAACCCCGGGAGGGGAGUGAAAAGAACAUGAAACCGUAAACUUACAAGCAGUAGAAGGACGACUAAAACGUCUGCCUGCGUGCCUGUUGAAGAAUGAGCCGGCGACUCAUAGGUAGUGGCAGGUUAAGGCAGUGAAUGCUGGAGCCACAGUGAAAGCGAGCCUGAAUAGGGCGUUUGUCACUAGUUAUAGACCCGAACCCGGAUGAUCUAACCAUGGUCAGGUUGAAGCUCAGGUAAUACUGAGUGGAGGACCGAACCGACUGAUGUUGAAAAAUCAGCGGAUGAGUUGUGGUUAGGGGUGAAAUGCCAAUCGAAUUCGGAGCUAGCUGGUUCUCCCCGAAAUGUGUUUAGGCGCAGCGGUUAAUAUUAUAGCUUAGAGGUAAAGCACUGUUUCGGUGCGGGCUGGUAAUUCGGUACCAAAUCGAGGCAAACUCUGAAUACUAAGUGAACAGUUAACCAGUAAGACUGUGGGGGAUAAGCUUCAUAGUCAAGAGGGAAACAGCCCAGAUCACCAGUUAAGGCCCCUAAAUAAUUAUUAAGUGGUAAAGGAGGUGGGAAGACUCAGACAGCCAGGAGGUUUGCUUAGAAGCAGCAAUCCUUUAAAGAGUGCGUAAUAGCUCACUGGUCUAGUAAUCCUGCGCCGAAAAUGAACGGGACUUAAAUAAUUUGCCGAAGCUGUGAGAUA